UGGGGAAUUUUGGACAAUGGGCGAAAGCCUGAUCCAGCAAUGCCGCGUGUGUGAAGAAGGCCUUCGGGUUGUAAAGCACUUUUGUCCGGAAAGAAAUCCUUGGCUCUAAUACAGUCGGGGGAUGACGGUACCGGAAGAAUAAGCACCGGCUAACUACGUGCCAGCAGCCGCGGUAAUACGUAGGGUGCAAGCGUUAAUCGGAAUUACUGGGCGUAAAGCGUGCGCAGGCGGUUUGCUAAGACCGAUGUGAAAUCCCCGGGCUCAACCUGGGAACUGCAUUGGUGACUGGCAGGCUAGAGUAUGGCAGAGGGGGGUAGAAUUCCACGUGUANCAGUGAAAUGCGUAGAGAUGUGGAGGAAUACCGAUGGCGAAGGCAGCCCCCUGGGCCAAUACUGACGCUCAUGCACGAAAAGCGUGGGGAGCAAAACAGGAUUAGAUACCCUGGUAGUCCACGCCCUAAAACGAUGUCAACUAGUUGUUGGGGAUUCAUUUCCUUAGUAACGUAGCUAACGCGUGAAGUUGACCGCCUGGGGAGUACGGUCGCAAGAUUAAAACUUAAAUGAAUUGACGGGGUCAUAGCUGUUUCCU
rnacentral:rRNA from 1 species